GGCCAGACUCCUACGGGAGGCAGCAGUGAGGAAUAUUGGUCAAUGGGCUUACGCCUGAACCAGCCAAGUCGCGUGAGGGAAGACUGCCCUAUGGGUUGUAAACCUCUUUUGUCAGGGAGCAACGCCGGCUACGUGUAGCCGGACUGAGAGUACCUGAAGAAAAAGCAUCGGCUAACUCCGUGCCAGCAGCCGCGGUAAUACGGAGGAUGCGAGCGUUAUCCGGAUUUAUUGGGUUUAAAGGGUGCGUAGGCGGACUGUUAAGCCGGCGGUAAAGCCCGGGGCCUCACCCCCGGCGAGCCGUUGAAACUGGCUAUCUUGAGAUGUCGAGGGGUAUGCGGAAUGCGCAGUGUAGCGGUGAAAUGCUUAGAUAUUGCGCAGAACUCCGAUUGCGAAGGCAGCAUACCGGCGGCGAUCUGACGCUGAGGCACGAAAGCGUGGGUAUCGAACAGGAUUAGAUACCCCCGUA
rnacentral:rRNA from 1 species